AUGAACGCUGGCGGCGUGCCUAAUACAUGCAAGUCGAGCGAACAGACGAGUAGCUUGCUCCUCUGACGUUAGCGGCGGACGGGUGAGUAACACGUGGAUAACCUACCUAUAAGACUGGGAUAACUUCGGGAAACCGGAGCUAAUACCGGAUAAUAUAUUGAACCGCAUGGUUCCAUAGUGAAAGACGGUUUUGCUGUCACUUAUAGAUGGAUCCGCGCCGCAUUAGCUAGUUGGUAAGGUAACGGCUUACCAAGGCAACGAUGCGUAGCCGACCUGAGAGGGUGAUCGGCCACACUGGAACUGAGACACGGUCCAGACUCCUACGGGAGGCAGCAGUAGGGAAUCUUCCGCAAUGGGCGAAAGCCUGACGGAGCAACGCCGCGUGAGUGAUGAAGGUCUUCGGAUCGUAAAACUCUGUUAUUAGGGAAGAACAAAUGUGUAAGUAACUAUGCACGUCUUGACGGUACCUAAUCAGAAAGCCACGGCUAACUACGUG
rnacentral:rRNA from 1 species